GCCUCAGUAGCAAAAUGGUAAUGCUGGGGACCUAAGCUCCCCUACCAAGAAGUUCAAUUCUUCUCUGAGGUU
rnacentral:tRNA from 1 species